UACGGAGGUUGCAAGCGUUGUUCGGAAUGACUGGGCGUAAAGGGAGCGCAGGCGGCCAAGUCAGUCUGAAGUGAAAGCCCGGGGCUUAACCCCGGAAUAGCUUUGGAUACUGCCUGGCUUGAGUGUGCGAUAGGAAAGCGGAAUUCCAGGUGUAGCGGUGAAAUGCGUAGAUAUCUGGAGGAACACCGGUGGCGAAAGCGGCUUUCUGGCGCAUAACUGACGCUGAGGCUCGAAAGCGUGGGGAGCGAACGGAAUUAGAUACCCCUGUA
rnacentral:rRNA from 1 species